AGUGAACGCUGGCGGUAGGCCUAACACAUGCAAGUCGAACGGCAGCACAGUAAGAGCUUGCUCUUACGGGUGGCGAGUGGCGGACGGGUGAGGAAUACAUCGGAAUCUACUUUUUCGUGGGGGAUAACGUAGGGAAACUUACGCUAAUACCGCAUAAGACCUACGGGUGAAAGCAGGGGAUCUUCGGACCUUGCGCGAUUGAAUGAGCCGAUGUCGGAUUAGCUAGUUGGCGGGGUAAAGGCCUACCAAGGCGACGAUGGGUAGCCGGUCUGAGAGGGUGACCGGCCACACUGGGACUGAGACACGGCCCAGACUCCUACGGGAGGCAGGAGUGGGGAAUAUUGCGCAAUGGGCGAAAGCCUGACGCAGCGACGCCGCGUGGGGGAUGACGGCCUUCGGGUUGUAAACCUCUUUCAGCAGGGACGAAGCGAAAGUGACGGUACCUGCAGAAGAAGCACCGGCCAACUACGUG
rnacentral:rRNA from 1 species